GACGAACGCUGGCGGCGUGCUUAACACAUGCAAGUCGAACGAGUGGCGAACGGGUGAGUAAUACGUGAGUAACCUGCCCUCUUUUUGGGAUAAGCCUUGGAAACGGGGUCUAAUACCGGAUAAAGGGGGAUGGGCUCGCGGCCUAUCAGCUUGUUGGUGGGGUGAUGGCCUACCAAGGCGGUGACGGGUAGCCGGCCGGGGAGGGUGACCGGCCACAUUGGGACGGGGGUACGGCCCAGACUCCUACGGGGGGAGGCAGUGGGGGAUAUGGCACAAGGGGCGAAAGCCGGAUGCGGCGACGCCGCGGGGGGGAUGAGGGCUUUGGGGUUGUAAACCUCUUUCGCUAUGGAACGGGUAGGUGGAGAAGAAGCGCCGGCUAACUACGUGCCAGCAGCCGCGGUAAUUC
rnacentral:rRNA from 1 species